rnacentral:rRNA from 1 species
UACGUAGGGUGCAAGCGUUAAUCGGAAUUACUGGGCGUAAAGCGUGCGCAGGCGGUUUUGUAAGUCUGUCGUGAAAGCCCCGGGCUCAACCUGGGAAUUGCGAUGGAGACUGCAAGGCUUGAAUCUGGCAGAGGGGGGUAGAAUUCCACGUGUAGCAGUGAAAUGCGUAGAGAUGUGGAGGAACACCGAUGGCGAAGGCAGCCCCCUGGGAUAAUACUGACGCUCAUGCACGAAAGCGUGGGGAGCAAACAGG